GAGUAAUAUCCAUGACUAAACUGUAAGUAAAGAAUUUCACAAUGGACUAAGUGUCCAAGAAAGGGUUGACACCACAAUUACCUGGAAUUAAUAAACAUUUGCAUAUAGGAUCUGCUAAGUUACCUACUCUUUGGGCAAGUUAGCAACGUGUCUCUUUAGGUGCGCAUAAAAUGCAGUCUCUUCUGUAGUAUCAUUUAAGGAAAUUGAAAUUUCAUGAAUCAUGCUUGUAAGAAAUAGCCUUCAAGGCUCAACAAUUCUCUUCCACUUUCAUCUUUAUUGCUCCCUCUUUCUCUCUCUGUGCCUCCCCCACUCUCCCCUUUCUCCUCUUUUUUAAACAUGUGUAUCCUGAGACAGUUUUAUAAAACAUUUUGGUCAAUAAUGAUGGAUGGAAGUCCAAACAUCAUUCAAUUUUGUAAUAUUCAAUAACCUGGUUUGACAUUUUAUCUUGGGCCUACGAUUAAUGUUUUCAUGGUAAAAGAGCGAGUUAGGAGAUGUAGGGGUGUAUUUGUUUCAAAAAAUAAUUCACUUUGUUAACCUUCUUUAAAGAUUAGGCAAGUAGCAGUAUCCUAUUAAUAAUUUUUUCCCCAUUCACUUCUUUUCCCUCCAAAUUUCUGUGAGCAUUGAAAUCUUUUAUCUAUUAUAUCUAUUAUAAUGUACUUUCUUUUUUCUUAAACAGGUUGGUAGUGU
rnacentral:misc_RNA from 1 species